UACGUAGGGUGCGAGCGUUAAUCGGAAUUACUUGGCGUAAAGCGUGCGCAGGCGGCUUACUAAGACAGGUGUGAAAGCCCCGAGCUUAACUUGGGAAUGGCGCUUGUGACUGGUAGGCUGGAGUGUGGCAGAGGGAGGUGGAAUUCCACGUGUAGCAGUGAAAUGCGUAGAGAUCGGGAGGAACACCGGUGGCGAAGGCGGUCUUCUGGACGGUGACUGACGCUGAGGCGCGAAAGCGUGGGGAGCAAACGGG
rnacentral:rRNA from 1 species